UACGUAGGGGGCAAGCGUUAUCCGGAUUCACUGGGCGUAAAGGGAGCGCAGGCGGCAUGGCAAGUCUGAUGUGAAAACCCGGGGCCCAACCCCGGGAGUGCAUUGGAAACUGCCAGGCUGGAGUGUCGGAGGGGUAAGCGGAAUUCCUAGUGUAGCGGUGAAAUGCGUAGAUAUUAGGAGGAACACCAGUGGCGAAGGCGGCUUACUGGACGACUACUGACGCUGAGGCUCGAAAGCGUGGGGAGCAA
rnacentral:rRNA from 1 species